ensembl:lncRNA
UCCAGCCUCACCGAGGACUCAACUCUCUCAUGUUGGAUUGUACUGUUCUGCUGGGCUUUAGCACCUCCGUUUGGGGGAGAGAUGUACGAGCGACACAGGAGGAGGUAUGGUUUAUGUACCAAGGGGUUCAGAGCAGUGGAUGUGGUUUUGAUUAAGAUCCAACGAGAGACAGAGGCUGUCUUCCCAGAGUCUUGCAGUCCUCUGACCCACACACAGAUCCACUCCUCCCCUGACAACAGGGAGACAGAGGCCGUCUUCACAGACUGUCAGGGAACUGGCACCAGCUCAACCCUCCACCGCGCGUCGGGCAGCGACUCAGAGAGUUUCUUAAGUACAGGAGAGGACAGCGUCUUUGGCAAGGGCGAUGACACGGUGACUGGGGACAGCACCAGUGAGCUGUCAGUGUCCCGCUCCUCCGCAGAGGACACGGCCAGCGGUGACCCCACCAGUUCCAGCCCGGAGAGCUGUCUGAGGAGGCGG